CUUACACACACUCUGCAUCUGCUACACACUAACACACUCUCUGCAUUCACUACACAUUAACACAUUCUGCAUUCACUACACUAACACACACUCUGCAUUCACUACACAUUAACACACACUCUGCAUUCACUACAAAUUUACACACACUCUGCAUUCACUACAAAUUUACACACACUCUGCAUUCACUGCACUAACACACACACUACAUUCAUUACACUGACACACUCUGCAUUCACU